UCGUCGUGAUAGUAUUAGCGGGGGCGCCCUGGCGGUGUGGAGCAUGGGAGAACGGGUGCGUAUCACCUGAGUAAUCUGCCCUUUAAUUUGGGAUAAGCCCGGGAAGUCGGGUCUAAUACCGGAUAUUCUCUGAUCCGCGCAUGUGGGUUGGUGGGAAGCUUUUGUGGUGGAGGAUGGGCUCGCGGCCUAUCAGCUUGUUGGUGGGGUAACGGCUUACCAAGGCUUUGACGGGUAGCCGGCCUGAGAGGGUGACCGGCCACACUGGGACUGAGACACGGCCCAAACUCCUACGGGAGGCAGCAAUGGGGAAUAUUGGACAAUGGGCGGAAGCCUGAUCCAGCAACGCCGCGUGAGGGAUGACGGCCUUCGGGUUGUAAACCUCUUUCAGUACCGACGAAGCGAAAGUGACGGUAGGUACAGAAGAAGCACCGGCCAACUACGUGCCAGCAGCCGCGGUAAUACGUAGGGUGCGAGCGUUGUCCGGAAUUAUUGGGCCUAAAGGGCUCGUAGGCGGUUUGUUGCGUCGGGAGUGAAAACCCAGGGCUUAACUCUGGGCUUGCUUCCGAUACGGGCUGACUAGAGGUAUGCAGGGGAGAACGGAAUUCCUGGUGUAGCGGUGAAAUGCGCAGAUAUCAGGAGGAACACCGGUGGCGAAGGCGGUUCUCUGGGCAUUACCUGACGCUGAGGAGCGAAAGUGUGGGGAGCGAACAGGAUUAGAUGCCCUGGUAGUCCACACCGUAGACGUUGGGCGCUAGGUGUGGGACUCAUUCCACGAGUCCCGUGCCGCAGCUAACGCAUUAAGCGCCCCGCCUGGGGAGUACGGCCGCAAGGCUA
rnacentral:rRNA from 1 species